rnacentral:rRNA from 1 species
GUGCCAGCAGCCGCGGUAAUACAGAGGGUGCGAGCGUUGUCCGGAAUCACUGGGCGUAAAGGGCGCGUAGGUGGCCCGACAAGUCAGUGGUGAAAGCUCGACGCUUAACGUCGAGUCGGCCACUGAUACUGUUGGGCUGGAGCACUGUAGAGGCUCAUGGAAUUCCGGGUGUAGCGGUGGAAUGCGUAGAGAUCCGGAAGAACACCGGUGGCGAAGGCGGUGAGCUGGGCAGUUGCUGACACUGAGGCGCGACAGCGUGGGGAGCAAACAGGAUUAGAAACCCCAGUAGUCC